rnacentral:lncRNA from 1 species
ACAGCCCGCGAGGAAGCCCGUCGGGGCCGGCGGGGCUGAUGGAAGGCCUGAGGAAUUCGCAGCCGGCGGCGCGGCCGGGCGCGUUCCCUUCCCCUCUCUCCGUUGCCCGGCGAGGGAGCCACAGCGCAGCGGUUGCCAUGGCCACGGGCCGGGCGUGGGGCUGGGGGACCAGGGGCCGCUGAGCCUCGAUCACCUUGUCCUGCUCGAGCCAGGUUGGCAUGGACUGGAAGAACCCCGCGGCGGCGGGCGGGAGGUGCUGGGGCCAGGGGAGGCCCCGAGGGACCCCGCCGCCCGGUCUGCGCCCUGAUCCCGCAGGGUCCUGUGGAAAUGCGGUGUCUGCCUCCCCGCCUCCUGCGCUCACACAUGCAGGCCUGGGGCCUGCGGGUCCCGGGGCUCUGAGCCUGCACAGCCCACGGGCCGCAGCCGCAGGCCCCGCACUGGUAGCUUAGGUGGACACGGAGGCUGAGGGGGAGUUUCCAAGGGGCCUGGCCUCACGCUCUGCCCGUCACAGCCGCCACCCCUCACCGGCCCUCCACCCACCCCUAACUCCUUAACCUCUCCCGGCCUCGGUUUCCUCACCUAUUAACUAGAGAUUAGUCAUAGCUACCAUCCAGGCUUGUUAUAUUAAAAUAGAAUAAUUAUGUAAUGUGCCGUGUGCACUCCAAACGCGGUCCUCUUUCCCUGUCCCACACCUCCUUCCUCCUGCAUCAGGCCUGGGGAGGGGGGCGUGCCGAUGUCACCCCCAACCCCCAGGCCUAGAGUCCUGGACACAUGGACGCCCCUGCCAGAGCUCCCCUCCCCGCGCUUGGGGUUACUUUGAACCCCGCCUCCUACAAGAGGAUGGUCCAGCCUAUUGUCGGAACCUGCAGGAAUCCCAGGCUGCGACCCAAGAAUAUUAGCGGAGGCCCAGCCUGGCUGGGGUGAGUCAGCCUCUCCUCCCAAAUUCAGUUGCGGCUUCAGCUGCCCUGUGCAGCUGGGGCUGCUAAGUUGCCAGCAAGAGGCAGCCUCUGAAAAUCUCUGGAAAGACCAGCAUGUCCUUGGGGUGGGAUUCAGAGCACAGUGGGGUGGGGGAGGGUUGAGAAGGGGUCUUGAUCCCCCUUCUCUUCCUCUAGGGGAGCCGAGGCUUGGGACCAGGGAAGCAGCGGUACCCCAUGUGGGGAAGGGCGGGCCUGACUUACUGUAACUUCCUGGCCCAAAGCCUGAUUGUCCUGUGGUUGGGC